AGAGAGAGAGAGAGAGAGAGAGAGAGAGAGAGAGCAAAAGCGAUUGUGGAGGGGAAGGAUGUGAGCUGCCCUGGUGGCUCAUCGGCCGACUACCACUGUUAUGGCGAAGUUCACCGGCGUUCUCUAACGACGUAAGCAAUCUCGUGUAAUAUAUAUAUAUAUAUAUAUAAAGAAGAAAGAAAUCGAGGGAGGUAAAAAGGAGGAAGUGAUGGGAGAGGGUCAAAGGAAGGUAAGAAAGAUAAAUACCCGCUCCGUCCGUUCCUUCCAAAUGACCUGAUCAACGGAACGGUGAUGAAGUGAUGAAGGUUCGGAUGGAUCCACUCAGUCCACACCUCAAAAUUACUAAAAUGGCCCUCGGUGUCUGUGAAUCCUUUGAAAGCGGAGCAAUUAUCGGUGGGGUUGGUGGCUUAUCUUUUUUGAUAAAUCAAGAGUAUGACAACAAGCAUCUCUUUACAUUUAUACAUUUUAAAUAAUCUUUUAUGAUAUAUAUUUUAGAGAUACAA